rnacentral:rRNA from 1 species
CCUACGGGAGGCAGCAGUGGGGAAUAUUGCACAAUGGGGGAAACCCUGAUGCAGCGACGCCGCGUGAGUGAGGAAGUAUUUCGGUAUGUAAAGCUCUAUCAGCAGGGAAGAAAAUGACGGUACCUGACUAAGAAGCCCCGGCUAACUACGUUCCAGCAGCCGCGGUAAUACGUAGGGGGCAAGCGUUAUCCGGAUUUACUGGGUGUAAAGGGAGCGUAGACGGCAGCACAAGUCUGGAGUGAAAUGCCGGGGCUUAACCCCGGAACUGCUUUGGAAACUGUGCAGCUAGAGUGCAGGAGAGGUAAGUGGAAUUCCUAGUGUAGCGGUGAAAUGCGUAGAUAUUAGGAGGAACACCAGUGGCGAAGGCGGCUUACUGGACUGUAACUGACGUUGAGGCUCGAAAGCGUGGGGAGCAAACAGGAUUAGAUACCCCUGUAGUC